AUUGAACGCUGGCGGCAGGCCUAACACAUGCAAGUCGGACGAGUGGCGGACGGGUGAGUAAUGUCUGGGAAACUGCCUGAUGGAGGGGGAUAACUAGUGGAAAAGGUAGCUAAUACCGCAUACCAUACGAUGAACCCAGAUGGGAUUCGCUGGUAGGUGAGGUAAAGGCUUACCUAGGCGACGAUCCCUAGCUGGUCUGAGAGGAUGACCGGCACCACUGGGACUGAGACACGGCCCAGACUCCUACGGGAGUCAGCAGUGGGGAAUAUUGCACAAUGGGCGCAAGCCGGAUGCAGCCAUGCCGCGUGUAUGAAGAAGGCCUUCGGUUUGUAAAGUACUUUCAGUCGGGAGGCGUUACCGGCAGAAGAAGCACCGGCUAACUCCGUGCCAGCAGCCGCGGUAAUUC
rnacentral:rRNA from 1 species